UGAAUACCAGAUUGCCCCUUUAAAAGGCUCGCCCUGCAGGACUAUUCAAAGAUCUUAUCUGUCAGGAAGAUAUCCGUUUGUCUCCGUGGAUGGUUUGUCCUCUGACAAAUAUGUGGAGGGGUGCAUCACGUCUUGCCAGGAUUUCUUCGCUAUGCUCGACUUGAGUGGGUUAAGUUACUGACCUGAUCUUCCUGUCCGGUCUUGCGCCCUCUCGGGCUCAUGCGUUGGGGGAGAUCUUCGUGGGCUAUACUCAGCCUUGUCUCAGGACCUGAGCCGUAGGACCAUGCCUCAGGACUACCUGGCAUGAUGACUCCUUGCUGUCCCCA